rnacentral:rRNA from 1 species
ACGGGUGCUUGCGCCUGGUGGCGAGUGGCGAACGGGUGAGUAAUACAUCGGAACAUGUCCUGUAGUGGGGGAUAGCCCGGCGAAAGCCGGAUUAAUACCGCAUACGAUCUACGGAUGAAAGCGGGGGACCUUCGGGCCUCGCGCUAUAGGGUUGGCCGAUGGCUGAUUAGCUAGUUGGUGGGGUAAAGGCCUACCAAGGCGACGAUCAGUAGCUGGUCUGAGAGGACGACCAGCCACACUGGGACUGAGACACGGCCCAGACUCCUACGGGAGGCAGCAGUGGGGAAUUUUGGACAAUGGGCGAAAGCCUGAUCCAGCAAUGCCGCGUGUGUGUAGAAGGCCUUCGGGUUGUAAAGCACUUUUGUCCGGAAAGAAAUCCUUGGUUCUAAUAUAGCCGGGGGAUGACGGUACCGGAAGAAUAAGCACCGGCUAACUACGUGCCAGCAGCCGCGGUAAUACGUAGGGUGCGAGCGUAAUCGGAAUUACUGGGCGUAAAGCGUGCGCAGGCGGUUUGCUAAGACCGAUGUGAAAUCCCCGGGCUCAACCUGGGAACUGCAUUGGUGACUGGCAGGCUAGAGUAUGGCAGAGGGGGGUAGAAUUCCACGUGUAGCAGUGAAAUGCGUAGAGAUGUGGAGGAAUACCGAUGGCGAAGGCA